UGAUAGGAUAUUAUGCAGUGAAUAGCCUGCGCAAAGAGUGCAUUUAGUGAAGAAUUCUUUUGGAGAUACGAAUAACCAAUUCUACGGACAUCACUCGGCAGUUCGUGGUCCCGGCCGCCAUCAUGCUUAGUACUGCUGCUCCAGCUAUCCUCCAGUGCAUCGCGAAGGCCUCGUUCGCAAA